rnacentral:rRNA from 1 species
GAUGAACGCUGGCGGCGUGCCUAAUACAUGCAAGUCGAGCGAACGGACGAGAAGCUUGCUUCUCUGAUGUUAGCGGCGGACGGGUGAGUAACACGUGGAUAACCUACCUAUAAGACUGGGAUAACUUCGGGAAACCGUAGCUAAUACCGGAUAAUAUUUUGAACCGCAUGGUUCAAAAGUGAAAGACGGUCUUGCUGUCACUUAUAGAUGGAUCCGGGCUGCAUUGGCUAGUUGGUAAGGUAACGGGUUACCAAGGCAACGAUGCAUAGCCGACCUGAGAGGGUGAUCGGCGACACUGGAACUGAGCCACGGUCCAGACUCCUACGGGAGGCAGCAGUAGGGAAUCUUCCGCAAUGGGCGAAAGCCUGACGGAGCAACGCCGAGUGAGUGAUGAAGGUCUUCGGAUCGUAAAAAUCUGUUAUUAGGGAAGAACAUAUGUGUAAGUAACUGUGCACAUCUUGACGGUAACUAAUCAGAAAGCCACGGCUAACUACGUG